AACGAACGCUGGCGGCAUGCCUAACACAUGCAAGUCGAACGAGACCUUCGGGUCUAGUGGCGCACGGGUGCGUAACGCGUGGGAAUCUGCCCUUGGGUUCGGAAUAACUUCGGGAAACUGAAGCUAAUACCGGAUGAUGACGUAAGUCCAAAGAUUUAUCGCCCAAGGAUGAGCCCGCGUAGGAUUAGCUAGUUGGUGAGGUAAAGGCUCACCAAGGCGACGAUCCUUAGCUGGUCUGAGAGGAUGAUCAGCCACACUGGGACUGAGACACGGCCCAGACUCCUACGGGAGGCAGCAGUGGGGAAUAUUGGACAAUGGGCGAAAGCCUGAUCCAGCAAUGCCGCGUGAGUGAUGAAGGCCUUAGGUUGUAAAGCUCUUUUACCCGGGAUGAUAAUGACAGUACCGGGAGAAUAAGCUCCGGCUAACUCCGUGCCAGCAGCCGCGGUAA
rnacentral:rRNA from 1 species